GUGAAAGAGAUCUCCCUGAUGGAUGUAACAAAAACAAAUGCAUUUGACUUCCACUGCCUGCCUGGCGUGUCACGUGGGUUCAAUACUUGGAGAUGGAAAAUUAUGACCACAGUGACUUUUUUCCUCAGGUCCAACCUUUAAUUUUUCUCGAAAUUUUUAAUAUAGUACUUUGUCCACAAAAUUGCAAUUUAAGUUCUUGUCUUGUACCCUUCAUUGUUAUUUUUGUUUUUCUCUGGGCUUUUUCUGACUCUUUGAUGUUCUUAAAAUGUGGAAAAUGUAAGCAUGAACAUUUCACUGGAAAUAUGACUUCCUUAUUCAUUUGAGCCUGUGAACAAACAAUAUUUGGGGAUUCCCUUCUUACCAUAUAUAAAGAAUUCUAUUUUUUUUCAUACUCAUCCUGAGACCAAGCAGUACUCGCUGUUUUUGUUUCAAAAGUUUUAGAAAGUUCUUUCUUUCUUUCUUGAUAGCAUAUCCUCUAUUUGGCAGAACACAAGACAUCUUUUCUCUGUGUUUUCUUUGGCAAGUUAAUUCCUUAUCUCAAAUUCUUCUUACCCAGUUUGAGAGACUGGAUUUUAUCCAGGACAUAAGCAUUGUUUCCCUUCAACAGAGUAUCUUGAAGUUUGUAAGCUCAGUUAACAAGACUACAGAUUUUAGCAUAAUAUAUAUAUGUUGAUAUAUAAAAUGCAUAUGCUAGAAAUACCAGCUUUUAGAACUUGUAGACCACCAAACUAUUUUGAAGACAGGAGAGGACUGGGAGAGGGCUGUGAAAAAAAGCUUUAUUAAGGUAUAUAUGAAUAUAACCCAAAAAAGGUAAUUCUUACAUUUAAUUUCUUCCAUUUGACUUUCUUUACCUCAGCUAGAAUCUAUGCUAGUACUUUGUUUUCUUCUUUCUUUCUUUGGUAGGAUCUUUUAAGGUAAAGCCCUCAUUGUAACAGAAAACAUUAGGGUAGCUUAUUAUGGAAAUGAGGCCAUAUUUUCAGAUACAUUCCUGCUGUUAUCCUUAUGGGUACUUUGCAAGCUUUUCUUGUUCUGGUUCUUUGUUAUCCAUUUUUCUUCUUUACAGAUGUCAUUGUUUAUGUACUGUUACAAGUCCUCUGAAACACCCUAUUCCCCUUGCUAAUGUUAAUAAUUUAAAAUAUAGUGACAUCCCUUACUGUGGGGAAAUGUAAAGGUGGUUGAAUGCACACAAGGGCAUUCAGCAGCUAUUGUAGCCAUAAUUGCUGCUUGGCUGUGGUAGGACUGAUUUAUAGAGACAGAACAACAGCAAAUCUGAAUACAGCAAAUCUGGAUUUGCAGAAAAAGUCCAGGGGCAAUAAGUGCUACUUCUCCCAUGCAACCUCCACAAAUGUCAUGUGUUUAAAAUGUUCAUCUUGUAAAAUAUCUCUGCACAGUGUUAUGUAAAUGUUGCAUAUAGCAAUGCUGACAAGAAUUUGUUCUAGUACAUGUUAUCCCAAGUUAAAUGUUUUCUUUUGCAUCAACUAAAAUCCGAAAAGUAAGCUAGCACACCAUUUUUUUUCUGCCUCUCUUUUUAAAAUCCAUUUUAACUACAAACCUCUUUGGGACUUUCAUUUUUAGGAAUAAAUAGUUUAUUUACAAAUCAUUGUGAUUUCUUAUUGAAGCUGGUGGAAAACUGGACUCUUACUUAUGCUACAGAAUUACCAGUGAUGGUUACUAUCAUUAUAUAGCCUAGUCUCCAGAUGCCUAGUACUUACCUGUAAUCAAGAAAUGGUUUGAAGAGCUAAGUAUGUCAUAGUUCCCUGCAUGCUGCUUACUGGUUUUCUGGCUGCUGGCCUUUAAUGUUAAUGAAUAUUCAGUGGCUUAUUAUUCUAAAUGAGAGAGGAAAAACAUGGCUUCUUUAUUGUAAUAUGCUUAAGGUCAGUCUACAUUAUAGAUGAGUGGGCAAAUUGGAUACUUGGGAUAAUUUGAAGAUGCCACAUGUCCCCAUUACCCCAUUGAAAUUAUUGGGGUCAAGGAUAUGGUCUCUGCUACCACAUAAUGUUUUUAAAAUUAAUUCUUAUUUUUAAACAAAUGAUAAAUUCACAAAAUUUAAAAAAUCAAAUUGUGUCUAAAACUUUUAAUAACAUAAAACAGAAGUUACCUUCUUGUACCACUUUCACUUUGUUGGAUUUUCCCCGCUCAGUAGUUUUCUUAAAUUAUAUUUUUUUCAUUUCUUCUAUGUUAACAACUAUAAAGUCCUUUCUCAUCUUAUUUUCCACAUAAUCAAGUGUAUCAGAAAUCUAUUAGAUGCAUUAAUUUUAAUCAGAGAUCUGUCUUCCAAAGUCAUCCAUCAUCCCAUAUUAAUCUGGACUGUUGCUACAUGGCUAUUGUCUGGAAUUGAGUUACUAUCCUGGGAUUUCCCUUCAUCUUUCCGUAUUAGACCCUCUGUUUCUUGGAACCUAUGUCAUUUAUCUUGAUAUACUCCCUUGUUUUGGUAGUGUACAUUCUUUAGUGGCUUCCUUAGAAAAAGUGCAUAAAUGGUAAAAUUUUGAGACCUUGCAUAUCUGAUAGUUUUAUUCUAGUCUCACCCUUGGUUGAUUAGUUUAACAGGGUAGAAAAUUUCAGGUUGAAUAUUAGUUUUCUUCAGAAUUUGAAGGUGUUAUUUCAUUGAUUUUGAAUUUUCAACAUUGCUGUUGAUAUCUGAUGUUAUUCUGAUUCUGAUCUUUUGUAUAUCACUCUUUAUGACCUCUAAAAGUUUUUAGAAUCUUCUGUUUGUUCAUGGAAUUCUGAAAGUUGAUGAUGUACAACAGUGGAAUACUUUUACAUUUAUUGUACUGGGUAUUCCAAAGGCCUUUUUAUCCAAAAACUCUUGUCUUUUAGUAUGGGAAGCUUUUCUUUUGUUAUUUUCAUAUUUUUCUUCCCUUUAAUAUUUUUCUUCUUCUGGAAUACCUGUUGGUCAAAUGUCAGAUUUCCUGACUCAUUCUAUACAAUUAGAAACUACACCCAAGUUUCACUGUGGAACUACCCCAGUGAGCCCUUGACUGUUGUCAUCUCUGGGCAGAGAUACCAUAAAUUCACUGCUAACAUUGGGAAUUGGAAAUUAGAAUCUCUUCUGAGAUUCUAAAAGCGAGAUGUUUCUGCCGCCACCCUAUGUCACAUGCUCCUUCACUUUACGGGUUUUUCGAAUCACAGUUGCCCAUGGGUGUGUCUGAUUAGGGAAAGGUCACAUACCUAUACCCUACCUGCAAAAGAGUUGGAGAUUUCAGGCUAAAUGUUAAGGGUCUGAGAGUCAUAAGGUCAGGAAUUCCAUGAACGCAGAAAAGGUAUUCAAAAGGUACUCCGCAGCUAGUGAAUUUAAAUAGAAGACAGUUGGAACUUCAGGACACUGGAUGACUGGAGAGGGUCUUUUUAAAGAAAAAGCAAUAAUAUGAAAGAUUAAUGCUUUCCAAUAUUAUCAAGAUGAUAGCAUUUUUGUGUACUGAAUUACAUGCAUGUUACAUAUAUAAUAAAAUUGUAAAAUUCUGUAUCUAGGAA